AAUCCGUCGACUUUCAAGUCCCUCUAUCCCCA
rnacentral:tRNA from 1 species